GUAGGGUGUGAGCGUUGUCCGGAUUUAUUGGGCGUAAAGGGCUCGUAGGUGGUUGAUCGCGUCGGAAGUGUAAUCUUGGGGCUUAACCCUGAGCGUGCUUUCGAUACGGGUUGGCUUGAGGAAGGUAGGGGAGAAUGGAAUUCCUGGUGGAGCGGUGGAAUGCGCAGAUAUCAGGAGGAACACCAGUGGCGAAGGCGGUUCUCUGGGCCUUUCCUGACGCUGAGGAGCGAAAGCGUGGGGAGCGAACAGGCUUAGAUACCCUGGUAGUCCACGCUGUAAACGGUGGGUACUAGGUGUGGGGUCCAUUCCACGGGUUCCGUGCCGUAGCUAACGCUUUAAGUACCCCGCCUGGGGAGUACGGCCGCAAGGCUA
rnacentral:rRNA from 1 species